rnacentral:lncRNA from 1 species
AAUUUAUUUCCCUUUCCUAGAAGAACCUAAUUUCCUAUUAAAGAGAGAAUCUACAUCAAAAUAGGAAGCAGUCCUACGUUUCCUAAAGCAAGAUGAUCUCUACACCUGCUGCCCUUUCCUACGAGCAGCCCAACAGGUGUGGGGGCACUUGUGGAUCCAAAAAUAAUCACAAGGCGACACGUGGAUUUUUAGGUAAAAGAGGACAAAAAUAACCUUGAGGCAUACCGGGAUUCCUACACGCGAGCAGCAGACAAUCAUCCUUUAAUAAAGUCAAAAGUGUCCAAAAUAAGUAACCAAUUCAAAGAUAUUCUCAUUCAUCCUCAUCUUGGGUAAUUAUUUUACCUACAAAACAUUACAUUUAAGUGGAGGUUAAUUGGCUAAUUAAUGGAUUAAUUCCUAAUUAAUCCAUUAAUCACCAAUUAAAUCACCCACAAAAUAUACCCAAAAAUCCCAAAGGGCUGGCCACCCUUGU